rnacentral:rRNA from 1 species
CCUACGGGAGGCAGCAGUGAGGAAUAUUGGUCAAUGGGCGAUAGCCUGAACCAGCCAAGUAGCGUGAAGGAUGACUGCCCUAUGGGUUGUAAACUUCUUUUGUCGGGGAGCAAAGCGAGUCACGUGUGACUCAUUGAGAGUACCCGAAGAAAAAGCAUCGGCUAACUCCGUGCCAGCAGCCGCGGUAAUACGGAGGAUGCGAGCGUUAUCCGGAUUUAUUGGGUUUAAAGGGUGCGCAGGCGGAGGUGCAAGUCAGCGGUAAAAUUGCGGAGCUCAACCCCGUACAGCCGUUGAAACUGCAUCCCUUGAGUGCGCGAGAAGUAUGCGGAAUGCGUGGUGUAGCGGUGAAAUGCAUAGAUAGCACGCAGAACUCCGAUUGCGAAGGCAGUAUACCGGCGCGCAACUGACGCUCAUGCACGAAAGCGUGGGUAUCGAACAGGAUUAGAUACCCCUGUAGUC